GCUGAUAUGGCUCAGGUGGUAGAGCGCAUCCUUGGUAAGGAUGAGGUCGGCAGUUCGAGUCUGCCUAUCAGCACCA
rnacentral:tRNA from 1 species